GAUGAACGCUGGCGGCGUGCCUAAUACAUGCAAGUCGAGCGAACGGACGAGAAGCUUGCUUCUCUGAUGUUAGCGGCGGACGGGUGAGUAACACGUGGAUAACCUACCUAUAAGACUGGGAUAACUUCGGGAAACCGGAGCUAAUACCGGAUAAUAUUUUGAACCGCAUGGUUCAAAAGUGAAAGACGGUCUUGCUGUCACUUAUAGAUGGAUCCGCGCUGCAUUAGCUAGUUGGUAAGGUAACAGCUUACCAAGGCAACGAUGCAUAGCCGACCUGAGAGAGUGAGAGGCCACACUGGAACUGAGACACGCGCUAGAGACCUACGCGAGGCACAAGUGUGGAAUCUCUCCCAAUGGGCGAGAGCGCGACGGAGCAAAGCGGCGCGAGUGAGGAGAGUGUCCGCAGCGCAAAAAUCUGUGAUUAGGGAAGAAAACAUAUGUAAGUAACUGUGCACAUCUUGACGGUACCUAAUCAGAAAGCCACGGCUAACUACGUG
rnacentral:rRNA from 1 species